GGUGUUGUGGCGCAAUGGUUAGCGCAUCGGAUUUCGGUCUUCCGAAGGUUGCAGGUUCGAAUCCUGUCAACAUCG
rnacentral:tRNA from 1 species